CGUAGGGGGCUAGCGUUGUCCGGAAUCAUUGGGCGUAAAGAGCGCGUAGGCGGCCAGAUAAGUCCGGUGUGAAAGUCACAGGCUCAACCUGUGAAUGCCGCUGGAAACUGUCUGGCUAGAGUCCGGAAGGGGCGAGUGGAAUUCCUGGUGUAGCGGUGAAAUGCGCAGAUAUCAGGAGGAACACCAAUGGCGAAGGCAGCUCGCUGGGACGGUACUGACGCUGAGGCGCGAAAGCGUGGGGAGCAAACAGGAUUAGAUACCCUGGUAGUCCACGCCGUAAACGAUGGGCACUAGGUGUCGGAGGUGUCGACUCCUCCGGUGCCAAAGCUAACGCAUUAAGUGCCCCGCCUGGGGAGUACGGCCGCAAGGCUA
rnacentral:rRNA from 1 species